AUUGCAAUUUCAAUUAGAUAUUAGCAUUCUACAUAUAUUGAAGAGUAUGUAUGCCAAAUUUCAUUUGUGCAUGAC
rnacentral:lncRNA from 1 species